AUUGAACGCUGGCGGCAUGCCUUACACAUGCAAGUCGAACGGCAGCACGGGAGCAAUCCUGGUGGCGAGUGGCGAACGGGUGAGUAAUAUAUCGGAACGUGCCCAGUCGUGGGGAUAACGUAGCGAAAGCUACGCUAAUACCGCAUACGAUCUACGGAUGAAAGCGGGGGAUCGCAAGACCUCGCGCGAUUGGAGCGGCCGAUAUCAGAUUAGGUAGUUGGUGAGGUAAAGGCUCGACCAAGCCGACGAUCUGUAGCUGGUCUGAGAGGACGACCAGCCACACUGGGACUGAGACACGGCCCAGACUCCUACGGGAGGCAGCAGUGGGGAAUUUUGGGACAAUGGGCGCAAGCCUGAUCCAGCAAUGCCGCGUGCAGGAUGAAGGCCUUCGGUUGUAAACUGCUUUUGUUACGGAACG
rnacentral:rRNA from 1 species